rnacentral:rRNA from 1 species
GCCAGACUCCUACGGGAGGCAGCAGUGGGGAAUAUUGCACAAUGGGGGAAACCCUGAUGCAGCGACGCCGCGUGAGUGAAGAAGUAUCUCGGUACGUAAAGCUCUAUCAGCAGGGAAGAAAAUGACGGUACCUGAUUAAGAAGCCCCGGCUAACUACGUGCCAGCAGCCGCGGUAAUACGUAGGGGGCAAGCGUUAUCCGGAUUUACUGGGUGUAAAGGGAGCGUAGACGGCAUAGCAAGUCUGAAGUGAAAGCCCGAGGCUCAACCAUGGGACUGCUUUGGAAACUGUUAAGCUAGAGUGCUGGAGAGGUAAGCGGAAUUCCUAGUGUAGCGGUGAAAUGCGUAGAUAUUAGGAAGAACACCAGUGGCGAAGGCGGCUUACUGGACAGUAACUGACGUUGAGGCUCGAAAGCGUGGGGAGCAAACAGGAUUAGAUACCCCUGUA